GUUGUUGCUAAAGCUCGUAGUUGGAUUUGGAUAAGCGGGUCCGCCCGGGAGUGAGGGAUAUCUUCCUCUCGAAAGGUGUAUUCUGUGGGGGUUGACUUUUACUGUGAAAAAAUUAGAGUGUUCAGCCUCCUUGUAUAGCAUGGAAUAAUAAAUAGGACUGGUCUAUUUUGUUGGUACGAAAAUGAUUAAAGGGAGGGGGGUCUAUUUUGCAGAGGUGAAAUUCUUUAACGGAAGAGACUUCUGCGCAUCUGCCAAGGAUGUUUUCAUUGAUCAAAACGAAAGUUAGGGGAUCGAAGAGAUCAAUACCGCGUAGUCUUACCAUAACUAUGCCGACUAGGGAUGUGGAGCGUUACUUUGUACGACCCUCCAUGCACCUUAUGAAAAUCAAGUCUAUGUUCCGGGGGAGAUGGCGCAAGGUAAACUUAAAGGAAUUGACGGAAGGCCCCAGGAGGGAGCCUGCGUUUUUGACUCACACGGGAAAACUUCAGGUCCAACAUAUUAGAUUGAAGAUGACUUUUUCUUGUUCUUGGGGGGGGCUGGCGUUCUUUGGGGGGUUUCUGGUAAUUCCUUAACAAAGACUUAACCUGAAAUUCCCGAACUUCUUGUUGCGGUCGACUUCUUAAGGACAACUUGUGACAAGAAGUUUGCGGCAUAAAGGUAUCCC
rnacentral:rRNA from 1 species